rnacentral:rRNA from 1 species
UACGAAGGGGGCUAGCGUUGUUCGGAAUUACUGGGCGUAAAGCGCACGUAGGCGGACAUUUAAGUCAGGGGUGAAAUCCCGGGGCUCAACCCCGGAACUGCCUUUGAUACUGGGUGUCUAGAGUGUGGAAGAGGUGAGUGGAAUUCCGAGUGUAGAGGUGAAAUUCGUAGAUAUUCGGAAGAACACCAGUGGCGAAGGCGGCUCACUGGACCGGCAUUGACGCUGAGGUGCGAAAGCGUGGGGAGCAAACAGG